CGGGCUUGUGCGGCAGUUCAUGUCGGGCUAACCGGUCGGCAGUCCAACACCAAUCUAGGAGUGCGAGCCAAAGGAAGAUUUUGCUAUGAAUUGGUUGGACUUAAGAGGAGUAGUUCAUGUUUGGUUCAACAAAAGCAGACUAGAUGUUGAGGGGAAAAAUGCAUGCAGGAAAUCAUAUGCGGAUGCUCGGGUAAGGCGAAGAAUACAAACACCAGAUCAUGCAGGUGUGAAUGUCCCGCCAGGAUACAGCUGCAGCAUUCAGACCAGUAUGGCCAGUACACUAGUGAACACAUGCCGGGCCAUAAUCACACUCUUACCGACAAGUGUUGCGAGAAGAUGCACAUUGACGUGUAUGCAUAGAACCUCAUACGGCAGUUGUGCGACAACAAUGUAAGUAUUGGGAAGUUGGGCCAAUAUAAUAGUGAGUUUCUUCGGUUUGAUGAAGAAUAUCCCAUUCAGCAAGAGGGCGCUCAUAGUGCUAUGUGGCCAGAUAAGUCGGCCAAGCAGUCAGCACGAUGUCAUCAGGAAAAUAAUGGAGGUUUUUGCCGAACUUGGGCAAAAGACCAAGGUUUGUAUUACAUGGUCCAACCAGAGUCGGAGAGCCGGAUCAGGAACAAGCUGAUAUAUCUACAUGAUCGAGCUGAAUGCAGUACAACUUUUUCAGGGAUGCAAUAGCAGUUGACACAACAUUACCAAACAAACUUUUAUGACAUGUUGUUCAGAUAGUUUGUCGGUGUGAUUCCAAAGCACAAUUUGUUCCGGCAGGGGUGAGAUUCCAAAGAAGCCAAGAAAGGAGGCAAGACAUACGAAAUGGAGUCGGUCAGCACCGGAGUGGCAACCCUAGUGUGGUUCGUUACAAAGUGCCGACGGCGGACGGCAUUUCAGAAGGGAGGCUUAGAUAUAGGCAUCUAGAGUGUUUGUGAUUUUCCCCAUUAAUUCCGCUUCGGAAAUAAAACUCCCAAUAAUUUUUUCCUUUGUCUGUGUUUACUAUUUUUUCCGUCAUUGUGAUGUGGUGAUGCUGUAACUUAAUA